GACGAACGCUGGCGGCGUGCUUAACACAUGCAAGUCGAACGGAAAGGCCCUGCUUUUGUGGGGUGCUCGAGUGGCGAACGGGUGAGUAACACGUGAGUAACCUGCCCUUGACUUUGGGAUAACUUCAGGAAACUGGGGCUAAUACCGGAUAGGAGCUCCUGCUGCAUGGUGGGGGUUGGAAAGUUUCGGCGGUUGGGGAUGGACUCGCGGCUUAUCAGCUUGUUGGUGGGGUAGUGGCUUACCAAGGCUUUGACGGGAAGCCGGCCUGAGAGGGUGACCGGCCACAUUGGGACUGAGAUACGGCCCAGACUCCUACGGGAGGCAGCAGUGGGGAAUAUUGCACAAUGGGCGGAAGCCUGAUGCAGCAACGCCGCGUGCGGGAUGACGGCCUUCGGGUUGUAAACCGCUUUCGCCUGAGACGAAGCGUGAGUGACGGUAAUGGGUAAAGAAGCACCGGCUAACUACGUG
rnacentral:rRNA from 1 species